GUGCUCACUUCAGCAGCACAUAUACUAAAAUUGUAAUGAUGCAGAGAUCAGCAUGGCCCUUGUGCAAAGAUGACAUGCAAAUUUGUGAAGCAUUCCAUAUUUUU
rnacentral:snRNA from 1 species